GUAGGAUUCAGAAUCAGUUUUUGUUUCUUCUCCAAGUCUUCUUCAGCUACAGAGAAUCGAAGAUCGAUGCGAUACAAAGGUGUUCGAUCUCAAUUUGAAAGAAGUUUCGCCGGAUAAUUUCCAGUUAUGUUUUUAAAGAGCAUUAAUGAGUAAAAAAAAUGAUCUUACCUGCAAGUCUCAGCAGCUCUUCUAUGGAAGCAGGAUCUGCAAUAUGGAUAUGUUUCCUGUGAAUGAAAUUCAAAUGAGUUGUAAAUAUUUGUGUCCAUGUCUUUGAUCACUGGCAUUUCCUUCUUCUGUCUUUGGACCACCACCAAGCCAUUCUUGGAGAAGUGCAUCUGGUUGUGGUGUAUAACAUAACACACCAAUCUCUCCAAAGGCAUCUCCAACAACUGCCUUGCCUUGAACCUGCAUAAAUACAGUAAAAUCCUGCACAAUCACCACAGGAGCGACGAGUAAUUAUGUUAAAAGGCUACUUACACAUUCCUGUACCGUUACUGAGAUUUUAU